GGACGAACGCUGGCGGCGUGCCUAACACAUGCAAGUCGAACGAAGCUUGAAUUCAGAAUCUUCGGAAUGACGAAUGAUAUGACUGAGUGGCGGACGGGUGAGUAACGCGUGAGCAACCUGCCCUUCGGAGGGGGAUAGUGUCUGGAAACGGACAGUAAUACCGCAUAACGUACAGAGACGGCAUCGUCAUUGUACCAAAGAUUUAUCGCCGAGGGAUGGGCUCGCGUCUGAUUAGAUAGUUGGUGGGGUAACGGCCUACCAAGUCGACGAUCAGUAGCCGGACUGAGAGGUUGAUCGGCCACAUUGGGACUGAGACACGGCCCAGACUCCUACGGGAGGCAGCAGUGGGGGAUAUUGCACAAUGGGCGCAAGCCUGAAUGCAGCAACGCCGCGUGGAGGAAGACGGUUUUCGGAUUGUAAACUCCUGUUCUUAGGGAAGAAGACAGUGACGGUACCUAAGGAGCAAGCCACGGCUAACUACGUGCCAGCCGCCGC
rnacentral:rRNA from 1 species